UCCCACUAAAGCAAAGACACAGGAGCAGAAAUCGCAUGCUGGACUGGCGACAGAUGUGCUGCAGAAGCAGCUCCAGCAGAGCGGCUCCUGCUGACAGAGCAGUUCUAUCAGCAGGAGGAUCUGAAAAGCUUCAGCUUCUCCAGAGCGCCGUUUCUGCAGCGGGAGCUGCUCUACGUCACAAAACCCACGACACGUCCAACAUGGAGGCGGCACCUCGCUUAGACCUGCAGCAACAUAGCAGAUGGGAAACAGGCUCGUAAUGAGACAGCAGCGCAGCAUUAGAAAUGGAUUUUAAUUUUCUGAAGGUAGGAAGAGGAGCAGCAGUGAUGAAGGUAAUGAGAGAGAAGCUGGAGAAGAGGAGGAUGACGUCUGGUAGCAGGAACCUUUUUGUCCUUUCAGGUGGGGGGUAAUGAGAGGCGGUUUGAGAAUGACACAAAACCAGAAACACUGGUAAACAGAAGAUGGCAACUCAUUUUAAAGGUUUAAAUUCUAUAAAACAUGAUUUAAAGAAACUAUAAGGUUAAAUGUAAAAGGCAGAUAUUCUAUGUAACACCAACAAACUCACCAGAUAAACAGUUCCUCUGGUUUAUUUAGAUAUGUUGUCACAUAUAGUCGAUUUUAUGUAUUUUAUUGGGAUUUUGUUCACUAGUAAAGUGAAAGAAGAAUGAAACAUGUUUCUCAAUUAUUUUGCAAAUAAAAAUGUUAAAAGUCUACUAUGUGUUUGCAUUCAGCCCCUUUGUGUCGAUGCUUUAUAAAACCACUUUUACCUCCAAUAACAACUGCAAGUGUCGGCCAGCGAUUGGUCAUGUUUUUUUAACCACUUCAUUGUUUGUUUGUAAUAAAAUUUAUUCUUUAAAAAAUGUCUGGUUGUUCUGAUAAAAACAC